rnacentral:rRNA from 1 species
GCCAGCAGCCAUAUCACCCUGCAACUCACAACUGGCAACUCAUAGAAGCUCAGCAGUGUGAGCCUGGUCAGUACCUGGAUGGGAGACUCCUGGGAAAGCUGAGGCUGCUGCUGGAA